CAAAAACAUGUCCUUUUGAAUUUAAUUUAAGGUCUGACCNGCCCAGUGAUUAUUUUUUAACGGCCGCGGUAUAUUGNCCGNGCAAAGGNAGCAUANUCAUUAGUCUUUUAAUAGAGGGCUGGUAUGAAAGGUUCAACGAAGAACUGACUGUCUCAUUUUAUUUGUUUNAAAAUNUAAUUUUNNGGUUAAAAAGCUAAAAUAUUAUUGGAAGACGAGAAGACCCUAUAGAUCUUUACAUAAUUGUAUUUAGUUAUUUAUAUAUUAAUAUGUCUAUUUGAGUUUAUGUUUUGUUGGGGUGACAAAAAUAUAUAAUUANCUNUUUUAUUUUCAUAACAUUGAUUUAUGAANANNAGAUCCUUUAUUAUUGAUUAUUAGAUCAAGUUACCUUAGGGAUAACAGCGUAAUCCUCCUCCAGAGUUCAUAUUUACAGGAUGGGCUUGCGACCUCGAUGUUGGAUUAAGAGAAUAGUUAGGUGUAGCCGCNUNAAUUGNAGGUCUGUUCNACCUUUAAAUUCUUACANGAUCUGAG
rnacentral:rRNA from 1 species